rnacentral:tRNA from 1 species
GGGCGCAUAGCUCAGGCGGUAGAGCAGCUGACUCUUAAUCAGCGGGUCGCAGGUUCGAGUCCUGCUGCGCCCA